GACGAACGCUGGCGGCGUGCUUAACACAUGCAAGUCGAACGGAAAGGCCCUGCUUUUGUGGGGUGCUCGAGUGGCGAACGGGUGAGUAACACGUGAGUAACCUGCCCUUGACUUUGGGAUAACUUCAGGAAACUGGGGCUAAUACCGGAUAGGAGCUCCUGCUGCAUGGUGGGGGUUGGAAAGUUUCGGCGGUUGGGGAUGGACUCGCGGCUUAUCAGCUUGUUGGUGGGGUAGUGGCUUACCAAGGCUUUGACGGGUAGCCGGCCUGAGAGGGUGACCGGCCACAUUGGGACUGAGAUACGGCCCAGACUCCUACGGGAGGCAGCAGUGGGGAAUAUUGCACAAUGGGCGGAAGCCUGAUGCAGCAACGCCGCGUGCGGGAUGACGGCCUUCGGGUUGUAAACCGCUUUCGCCUGUGACGAAGCGUGAGUGACGGUAAUGGGUAAAGAAGCACCGGCUAACUACGUGCCAGCAGCCGCGGUGAUACGUAGGGUGCGAGCGUUGUCCGGAUUUAUUGGGCGUAAAGGGCUCGUAGGUGGUUGAUCGCGUCGGAAGUGUAAUCUUGGGGCUUAACCCUGAGCGUGCUUUCGAUACGGGUUGACUUGAGGAAGGUAGGGGAGAAUGGAAUUCCUGGUGGAGCGGUGGAAUGCGCAGAUAUCAGGAGGAACACCAGUGGCGAAGGCGGUUCUCUGGGCCUUUCCUGACGCUGAGGAGCGAAAGCGUGGGGAGCGAACAGGCUUAGAUACCCUGGUAGUCCACGCUGUAAACGGUGGGUACUAGGUGUGGGGUCCAUUCCACGGGUUCCGUGCCGUAGCUAACGCUUUAAGUACCCCGCCUGGGGAGUACGGCCGCAAGGCUAAAACUCAAAGGAAUUGACGGGGCCCCGCACAAGCGGCGGAGCAUGCGGAUUAAUUCGAUGCAACGCGUAGAACCUUACCUGGGUUUGACAUGGAUCGGGAGUGCUCAGAGAUGGGUGUGCCUCUUUUGGGGUCGGUUCACAGGUGGUGCAUGGCUGUCGUCAGCUCGUGUCGUGAGAUGUUGGGUUAAGUCCCGCAACGAGCGCAACCCUUGUUCACUGUUGCCAGCACGUUAUGGUGGGGACUCAGUGGAGACCGCCGGGGUCAACUCGGAGGAAGGUGGGGAUGACGUCAAGUCAUCAUGCCCCUUAUGUCCAGGGCUUCACGCAUGCUACAAUGGCUGGUACAGAGAGUGGCGAGCCUGUGAGGGUGAGCGAAUCUCGGAAAGCCGGUCUCAGUUCGGAUUGGGGUCUGCAACUCGACCUCAUGAAGUCGGAGUCGCCAGUAAUCGCAGAUCAGCAACGCUGCGGUGAAUACGUUCCCGGG
rnacentral:rRNA from 1 species